rnacentral:misc_RNA from 1 species
GAUGAAGAACGUAGUGAAAUGCGAUAAGUAAUGCGAAUUGCAGAAUUCAGUGAGUCAUCGAAUCUUUGAACGCACAUUGCGCCCUGUGGUAUUCCGCAGGGCAUGCCUGUUCGAGCGUCAUUUCAACCCUCAAGCUCUGCUUGGUGUUGGGCCCUGCCCGCUGCGGCCGGCCCUAAAGACAGUGGCGGUGCCGCCUGGCCCUGAGCGUAGUACAUCUCUCGCUCCAGUGCCCGGUGGUAGCCUGCCAGAACCCCAACUCUCGUGGUUGACCUCGGAUCAGGUAGGGAUACCCGCUGAACUUAAGCAUAUCAAUAAGGGAGGA